GACGAACGCUGGCGGCGUGCUUUACACAUGCAAGUCGAACGAGAACCUUCCUUCGGGAAGCAGAGAGUGGCGAACGGGUGAGUAACACGUGGGCAACCUACCCCUCACACUGGGAUAACCUCGGGAAACCGGGGCUAAUACCGGAUAUUCACGACCUCGGGCAUCCGAGGACGUGGAAAGGAUUCUGGUGAGGGAUGGGCCCGCGGCCUAUCAGGUUUGUUGGUGGGGUAAUGGCCUACCAAGACGACGACGGGUAGCCGGCCUGAGAGGGCGACCGGCCACACUGGGACUGAGACACGGUCCAGACUCCUACGGGAGGCAGCAGUGGGGAAUUUUGGGCAAUGGGGGAAACCCUGACCCAGCAACGCCGCGUGGAGGAAGAAGGUUUUCGGAUCGUAAACUCCUGUCCGGAGGGACGAGCAAGUGACGGUACCUCUGGAGGAAGCCCCGGCUAACUCCGUG
rnacentral:rRNA from 1 species